GAUUUAAAAAAUUUAUGUCGUCAAUUAAAAAAAAGCUAUGUAAUUAGUUUUUAUUUUCGUUUAUAUUUAAUAGACCAUAUAUGUGUCCAAGAUUUAAUGUGGUAGAAAAUUUUAAAAAAAAUUUAAGGCCUUAUCCGAUGAAUCAAAAACGCAGACUUUAGAAGCCGCGUGAACGAAAAUAUACACAUACCGCUCUUGGAUGGAAGGCACGUGCGUAGCUGCCCAAACCCUACUGGGGCCUUGUUUAGUUCACCCAAAACUAAUUUUUUUUUAAGAUUUCUCGUCAUAUCAAAUCUUGUGGCACAUGUAUGGAACAUCAAAUAUAGAUGAAAACAAAAAAACUAAUUUCACAGUUUGUCUCUAAAUCGCGAGACGAAUUUUUUAAGUCUAGUUACUUUAUGAUUGGACAAUGUUUGUCAAAUAAAAAAACGAAAAUACUAUAGUGACAAAAUCCAAAAAAAAAAUUGGAUCUAAACAAGGCCGUGUCUGAAAUAUAUGGGCUAACCCUCAAGCUUGUAUAUGGCGAAGUUUCAAUAUAUAGUCCGUGUGAUUUAAAGUUAUAAUAAGCCCAAGAGUGAAGAAAAAAAAUAAUAUCAAUUAGUACCAUAUUGCUUAUUAGCAUAGAAAUAGAUGAUUUUUUUUCUAUAUAUACCAACCC
rnacentral:lncRNA from 1 species